AUACGUAGGGGGCGAGCGUUGUCCGGAAUUACUGGGUGUAAAGGGCGUGUAGGCGGGGGUGCAAGUUACCGGUAAAAACCCAGGGCUCAACUCUGGGCUUGCCGGUAAAACUGCAUCUCUUGAGUGUAGGAGAGGGAAGUGGAAUUCCCGGAGUAGCGGUGAAAUGCGUAGAUACCGGGAGGAACACCAGUGGCGAAGGCGGCUUCCUGGCCUACAACUGACGCUGAGGCGCGAAAGCCAGGGUAGCGAACGGGAUUAGAUACCCAGGUAGUCCUAGCCGUAAACGAUGGUCACUAGGUGUGGGUGGUGGUCAAGCCAUCCGUGCCGGAGCUAACGCAAUAAGUGACCCACCUGGGGAGUACGGCCGCAAGGUUGAA
rnacentral:rRNA from 1 species